UUUAUAAAAGCUGAUUUUCUUCUUCUUCUUUUUCACUUUGUUUCAGAACUCCUCUUCCCCAAGGACUCUUCAAAUUCGGAACUCCUCAUCAACAAGGAUUCUGAGCUUUCCUUUCUUCUCUUUAAAUUGUUGGAUUUUGGCUAAUAUUCCCCUUCCAGACUUAGGGUUUUGAUUCUUACCUUGGUGUUAAAGCUUCUCAUUGGUAACGAGCUUUGUUCUUCAUGAACUCCAGGGUUUCAGAUUUGAUUGUGUUCGAGCCGAUUGUUGUGGAUUCUUCUUGAACGAACCAGUGUUCCCUUCCCCAUCAAGCUUGUUCUCUCUGAUUCAGAUUAGCUAUGUUGACGAGGAGAUCACGUAUCCUAAAGAGGUCGGCUACUGAGUUACCUGAGAGGGAGGCUCUAUCUUUCGCAGGACGAGGUAUAUCAUUAUGCUAUUUUCACGACAAUAUACGUUAUCUUACGUGUGCGUGAUAUGGUUGAAAUCGUCUCGCUAAUUACAAGUUGAAUUCCCUUCGGAUGUGUUCUUGCCUUUCGAGGUAGAUGGUCAUAGGGUGAGCAUUAUGCUAAUAUCGAUGAUCCAACGUUAAUCCCGCCAACUCCUCAAUUUGGUUCGGACAUUCCUGAAAAUUCUCUCGAUUGGUGUGAGAGGGACAUCAUCGUACUUUGCCUUAGCUAAUUACCGACGCACCGCUUACAGAUAAUGAGGGUUCUACCCGACCUCCCAGGAAGACAGAUUAUUUAUUUGGAGAUUCCAUUGAAGAUCAGAUAGUCGUAUCUCUGAAGGAUGAGCAAUGGUUACACAAAGACAUGGUAGGCUGCUUAUAUCUUCCACCAAUCCCUCGUCAUCGCUAACUGAUUAAGUUACAGAAGCAAGCAGUGACACGCGAAAUGUCAUGGAAUUUGACAGAGGAGCACACUCAUGCCACUGCGGAUAUUGUUAGCCUUUAUGUUUUGAUGAUAAUUUACAACCACCAUUAUCAGUACUAAUUACUUGUAGAGUGAUA